rnacentral:telomerase_RNA from 1 species
CCCCCUGUGGAGGCCUGCGGAUGCGGUCCCGCCAGGGCUGACUUACUCCACAGCUCUUCAACCCUAAAUAAUCGGUGCUCGCCUGUACAGGCGUUCAAUCCCCCUCUCAAGGGCUUCUGCCUCGCCCGUUCCCCUUGCGGCCUCGCUGUCGCUAAAGCAACACAGGUUGCCGUGCCCAGCUGACCUCCCCAUUGUGGUUCUGCCGUCCCCGUGGGUGGGCAGGCGUGUGUCCCCCGCCCAUCAAGCGACGGAUGCACGUGUAGCCUCGCCCCAGCUCGCCCCUGCCCCAGUUCCGGGGGGCGGCCCGGGGGUGCUGCAACUUUUGC